UGACCUUCAGACUUGAACGGCAGCACUGGCUCCUCCCCUCUCCAGCUCCAUGACCUUCAGACUUGAACGGCAGCGCCGGCUCCUCCCUGGGUCUCGAACCUGCCCAGCCUGCAGAUUUUGGACUUGCUAGCCUUCAGGAUCACAUUAGCCAAUUCCUUAAACUCAACCUCUUUCUCUGUAUGUAGGAUAUGGACACCUCCUGCUGGCUCUUUUUCCGGAGAGCCCAGUGAACACACCGUGCAUCAGGCUCCAUCAUUCACCAGAGCGUCUUUCCAACAGACUUUGCUGUGAUAUUUCUUAAAUAAAGGUCACUCCAAAGACCCUCACCUCUGGAUUGUAACCAACUCAGUGGCAGACUUAAUCCAUUUCUAUCUGCUGACAUUUCUCACAUGGAAUAGGCUGUUUGACAGAUUGAAGCUGUCUCCCCCCACUCCCCAGGCCAGUGCACACUUAUCUCCCUUGAAUGUUCAUUUUGUGCUCAUUUUAGAGACUGAGGCACAAAGACAGGCAAAUACAAGGUGAAGUCAGUGACAAAUAAACAAUGCUAUUUAGGCA
rnacentral:lncRNA from 10 species